AGACGAACGCUGGCGGCGUGCUUAACACAUGCAAGUCGAACGGAGUCCAACUGAUCGCAAGUGAUGUGAAGACUUAGUGGCGAACGGGUGCGUAACACGUGAGAAACCUGCCCCGGUCUCUGGGAUAACAGUUGGAAACGACUGCUAAUACCGGAUGCCGCCGGCGGACCGCAUGGUCUGCCGUCGAAAGAUUUAUCGGAUCGGGAGGGUCUCGCGGCCUAUCAGCUAGUUGGUGAGGUAAUGGCUCACCAAGGCAUCGACGGGUAGCUGGUCUGAGAGGAUGAUCAGCCACACUGGGACUGAGACACGGCCCAGACUCCUACGGGAGGCAGCAGUGGGGAAUCUUGCACAAUGGGCGAAAGCCUGAUGCAGCAACGCCGCGUGCGGGAUGAAGGCCCUAGGGUUGUAAACCGCUUUCAGCAGGGAAGAAAUUGACGGUACCUGCAGAAGAAGGUGCGGCCAACUACGUGCCAGCAGCCGCGGUGACACGUAGGCACCAAGCGUUGUCCGGAUUUAUUGGGCGUAAAGAGCUCGUAGGCGGUUCAGUUAG
rnacentral:rRNA from 1 species